rnacentral:lncRNA from 1 species
CAGAGGGUUAAUAGUCCAAUAAUAAUUAAAAUAAUCCUCUUCAAUUCAGUAAUAACUUUGGCCACCUGCCUUCAUCCAACCCCCAGCACCACCCUCAGUACUUCUUACAAAAAUAUUCAUGUUACAGACAAUCUUGUGUAACAGAUUAACAUAACAUAUCUGGAACAUUACUCAGAUUUUUAGGCAAUGGCAAUCUGAGUAUGUUCAUAAGUUCAGCUUUUUUUCUCAGACAACAUCCUGCUGUUAACUCUUGACUUUUUAAAUCAGUGGGGCUUGGUGUAACUGAAAUGCACUGCCUGUGGUAUCACAUGGAGGAUGUGUGUGUGUGUGUGUGUGUGUGUUGGAGCAGAAAUACCACAUGUUACAAGGGGUUAGCACAGAUAGUAUUGUAAGGACUGGUUUUCUCUCUUUGCUUUCUGAUUUGAAUGGCUGCGAUGCCUAUUUGACGUUUGAUUUUAGGCAUGAUAGUGGAUGAUACAGAGCCGGAUGCACAGUAGGAUGUGUGAGGUAAAUUUCAAAAAUGUGAGGGUUUUUUCAUUGAAAAAAGGAGAAAAUGAAUCUCAUAGGUUCGGAAACAGUAAUGUGAUCAUCCAAGCACAAGGCUGGAAGUCAGGAAGCCUUUUUUCCUUUUGUUCUUUAUCUCACUCUGAGUUGUUUUUCAGGUAAGUUUUUCUUGCUUGUUGAGCUGGAAUCCUGCCAGGGACAUUUGUGAUGGAAAGCGUUUGGGGCACUGGUUAUUGUUGUAGCAUGAGACAGUUUUCAGUCAUUGUUUCUCAUUUUAGGUGACCAGACCUAGAAACGAAAUGACUCUGUUCUAAUUUAACAUUAAAGUUCCAUUUUUUGUUACAGAUUUCAUCUUGUCCAUUGCUAAAGUAAUUGGCUUCUGUAAAUAAGUGCUAAGUAAACAGUCAAGCAAUUUUUGCUGGUACAUAUUGUAAUUCUCAUUUCAAAAUAACCUAAUAAAGAUUGGCUUUUAAAUAGAGCUAUUUGGAUAUAUCAGGGGCAUGUUGUACCAAACAAACAAACAAAAAAAGAAUAAAAAAGAAAAAAUAAAAUAAAACAAAGUCUCUGUCAUUUGAAAGAGACCAUUUAGCUUUUGAACGUAUUUGCUGCACACUGAAUAAUAGAUGUUAUUCUGAGACAAAUAGAACAUGGUCUAUAUCCUUCUAUUGGAAACUGUUUUCUUUUGUCUGAAUACUUCACCCACUCCAACUACCUGCCCCCAUAACAACAAACAGAUUUGGCUAAUAUGCAUUGUAGGUAAAUUUUAGGGCUGUAAUAUAAAUUAUUAAUUUAAUAAGGUUAAUAUUUAAAUAACUUCUUAAUCAUUAACAAAAGUGGAAAGUUCAGAGUUAAGAUAUUCUCUUUCCUCCCUGCAAAAAUAAACAUUAACAAAUCAGUCUAAUUCCUAAGCAUGAUGUAUGUUGGUCUGGUUUGGAUAGUUCACUUGCAGUAGCAGACAGCUAGGAAGAUAUUCCUCUGGCACAGCAUUGUGAUUACUUUCACGCCCUUAAAAAAUUGUACAGAAGUGUUACUGAUAAGUUAGUACCUGAAGUAAGAACUAUAAUCAUUAUUAGCAAAUGAGUUCUUAAAAGAUGCUUGUCACUGAGUCAACUGUUUUUUCAUCAUCUUAUUUUGAGAAAGAUUAGAGGCCAUGGAGCGUUUUUCUAGUAAGUUUUGUUUGUUAAGCAUAGCUCUCUUUGGAAAAGGCAGGUCAGGUCAACAAAUUGUGCAUGCAUAGAAAGAAGAAGGUUCAGCUUUGUUCCUAGGAAAGGCUGUUGCUCUUCUUUGGCUGUGGAAGGUCCUUCUACUCUUAAAUAAGUGAGCUGAUUGACUGGUCAUUGCAGACUUGUUGCAGGAUGCAGUAAGAAUCUGGGUUUGGAAUCCUAAUGCUGCCUCAGCCAAAACGCGUGAGCACUGGUCUGCAGCUGCUACUGUGGUUAUUGAUCUCCUCAGCUGAUAGCACAAACAUUCCCAAUAGUGAUACCGGCUCUACUGUGGGAACUGUUAGCUUGUAACUUUCAUUUGAAAUGGAGACUUCCUAAAUUGUGAAGCAGUAGCCUGACAGUAAGACCCCCACAUCCACUCUUUGGGUUUAUAGAGACAACGAUACAAGCAUUUCUGUUCUUUAAAGGUUAUUUUGGCCGCAGCCACAUUCAUUUUUGCUGGGAUUCAGAGGUACUUCCUUUUCUGAAUACUAGGAUUUGUGAUGGCAGUCUGAUAGCAGACUGUUAUGACCUUUGAAAAAUCUCAUUUUGAUGUUUGAUGUGAGUUUUAUUUAUAGCCAUUACUUAUAUUGUGUUAGCACCUUGAGCAUUCCUGUUGGAGUUGGAGUGUGCUCAGUGCUACACCAGUCUCAGCUAGAUGCAGCAAUUUAGUGCCAUUUGCUCACAAAGUUAGCUCAAGAAACGGUGGCCAACAUUUAGCGUGCCCAGAAGCUAAGAAGCAAUGAGUUCUGAUUGUCUGAAUUGUCAGAACAUUAACUGGUCUAGCAGUAUGCACCUAACUUUUCCCAUGUGCCCUAACUUCUCAACAUAGAUAGACUUUGGCCUGACCUGGCUUUGCAUCUGAAAAAAAAAAAAAAAAUAUCAAGGGAACUCUGAGGAGAUCUACUUUGUGCUAUGAUAGGGAUAUACAUUUCACUCACUUUAACAGCUGGCACUUAGUCAUGGCAUCUGGGCUAUCUCUAUUUACAAAGGAAAGGAGAGGCUUCUCUGGAGGUUGACUUAGCCAUGCAUAUGAUAUGAGAAGGAAUUGCACUCUUGAGAUGGUCACCUCACCCCAGUAGAGGAAGAAGUAGUCUGUUGAAUGACCAAAGUUAGAAAACCAUCUCAAGACUCUGAGGAUUGUGAUAUAUUUUGUGACCUUGAGGCCAGUAAGACUGUCCUAAGCACGUGCUGCAGAAUGUUCACUUUUGCUUGGUACAUAGCGCUUAUGUUUCCAGUGGAGCUGAAGUGUAUUUCCUGAGUUGUGUGCAUAGUUUUUCAUGAUGUCAGAUCUUGAGGGUAUUAUCUGAAAUUAUUUGAGUCACCAAUAAGCCGUUGCUCCAACUGAAACCAUUAAAUGUAAACAUAGAGAUUGGAAUUUAAAACAAAAUGAACAGCCUGUAAUUUUAGAUAUGAUAUGCUCUGUUAGCAUGUUAGUCCAACAAAUGACUGCCUCAAG